GGUAAACGCUGGCGGCGUGCCUAAAACAUGCAAGUCGAACGCACAUCCUUCGGGGUGUGAGUGGCAGACGGCUGAGUAACGCGUGGGUGACGUACCUAUUUGUGGGGAAUAACUGCCCGAAAGGGUGGCUAAUACCGCAUACGCCCGUUGAUACAUUUCGAUGGGGAAAGCCGCAAGGCGCAGAUGGAGCGGCCCGCGUCCGAUUAGCUGGUUGGUGGGUAACGCCUACCAAGGCGACGAUCGGUAGCUGGUCUCAGAGGAUGAUCAGCCAGACUGGGACUGAGACACGGCCCAGACU
rnacentral:rRNA from 1 species